CUGCUGCGAGAAGCACACUUCUGGGCGGAGCUUCGUUGCCGAUGAGCUCCGAUCUGCUAGGCCGCCGACAAUAUGUCCAGGAGCCAUCAGAGAGAUGGAACAACACCUUCACUGUGUGUGCUCACCUACUUGACUCCGGAUCUCGGUCGAUGCCACUACUGUGUUUCCUCUCCAUACUUGUGAAUCGAUUGCUCCAGAGCACUCAUUUCAGCAUUUAUAUAAACUUGGAUCAAGCUGUGCUGAAGAAACAGUUUUCAAUUAAGUAGGUUAUAAUUGAUGCAGAAAUAAACACCGGCAGGUAGCUAAGAUGAUUACAAAAAUGUUGGAAUUCAUUUGAGCAGCUACUGAACCCAACAACCUGCUCCAUAUAUAUGGUAAAAUGGCAUCCUAUACCCUGGAUGGUAUGGCAUGCUAACUUCGACAAGAAGAUGUCCAGACUCCAGAGCCACCAUGCCACUCUCCUUCGUCUCCCCCUCCUCCCUCCCUCACUCCCCAACAGAUCCCCUCUUCCCCCUUCCUCCUCGCCCCAGCAAUGCCGCCUAGCUCGUAGCCGGCGCGCCCGUCCGUACAUCCGUCGGUUGCAAUGGCGUCCGCGGCGGCGCUGCUGUUGGCGGCCGCCGUAGUCGUCUUGCUGGCAUGCCUGGCACUCGCGGACCCGCCGGCGAGGGAGCAGUCGGCGCUGCUGGCGAUCCUCGCCGCUACCCCGCACGAGCGCAAGCUCGGGUGGAGCGCCUCCACGCCGGCCUGCGCUUGGGUCGGGGUCACCUGCGACGCCGCCAACUCCACCGUCAUCAAGCUGCGCCUACCCGGCGUCGGGCUCGUCGGCCCCAUCCCGCCGUCCACCAUCGGCCACCUCACCAACCUCCAUGUGCUGUCCCUCCGGGCCAACCGCGUUUCCGGGGCCAUCCCUGAAGACAUCCUCUGGCUCUCCGCUCCGUCUUCCUGCAGGACAACGCCAUCUCCGGUACCAUCUCGCCGCGGGUCUCCGGGCUCGCGGCGCUGGAGCGGCUCAUGCUCUCCCACAACAACCUAUCGCGCCCCAUACCCUUCACGCUCGGAGGGCUCGCCGCACUCCGCGCGCUCAGGCUCGACGGCAACCGCCAGUCCGGCAAGAUCCCCAGCAUCGCCAACCCGAGGCUCAACACAACCGGCUCAACGGCUCCAUCCCGCGGGCGCUCGCGCGGUUCCCCGUCGACGCCUUCGCCGGAAACCUCCAGCUGUGCGGCACACCGCUGCCCCCCUGCAGCCCCUUCUUCCUGUCCCCGUGGCUGGCGCCAGGGAUGGGCCCCAGCAAUGGCAAGCCACCGAAGAAGAAGAAAAAGAAGAAGGUAUCCACCGCAGCGAUCGUCGGCAUCAUUGUGGCCGUCGUGGUCGUCGCGCUGCUGCUUCUGGCCAUCCUGUUCUACUGCAAGAGGUCUCGGCGAGGCGUGCGCGCGGACGGCGCAAAAGAUUGUUGCCUCUCCUUAAUGGAUCCAAUAAAUAGAUAUCCAGGUUUGGGUACUUCUAUAAAAAAUAUUAUAGUUCCAAUAAAUUGGUAUCUAGGUUUGACUACUUCUAUAAAAAGCUUACUUCAUGUAGCAUGUAGACACUUGAAGAAACAUAUUCCUUGUAAUCUGUAGACACUUAACUUGAAGCAGGCCAGCAGCUAAAAAACUGAUAUUAAGCAUGCAUCCUGGGUUCAGGGGCUCAAUCUUUCCAAGAAAUUACGAAAAUCAUCAUGCUUCAGUUGCCUGUUUCCUGGCAUACAAUGUGUUCACUCAUUCCAACAAAUACUGGAGGACUAAUAGACAUAGCCCUGUGGUAGUUGAAGUGAUUUCUGAAAAAGAAAAUCGUAAUAUUACAAAUUGCAAGCUGUCCAAAGAGAAAGAUAUGUUUAAUUUGAU
rnacentral:lncRNA from 1 species